rnacentral:misc_RNA from 1 species
GAUGAAGAACGUAGCGAAAUGCGAUAAGUAGUGUGAAUUGCAGAAUUCAGUGAAUCAUCGAAUCUUUGAACGCACAUUGCGCCCCUUGGUAUCCCGAGGGGCAUGCCUGUUCGAGCGUCAUUUCACCACUCAAGCCUGGCUUGGUGUUGGGCGACGUCCUCUUUGGGGACGCUCCUCGAAACGCUCGGCGGCGUGGCACCGGCUUUAAGCGUAGCAGAAUCUUUCGCUUUGGAAGUCGGGGCCCCGUCUGCCGGAAGACCUGCUCGCAAGGUUGACCUCGGAUCAGGCAGGGAUACCCGCUGAACUUAAGCAUAUCAAUAAGCGGAGGA